rnacentral:rRNA from 1 species
AUUGAACGCUGGCGGAAUGCUUUACACAUGCAAGUCGAACGAUGAACCUUAGCUUGCUAGGGGGAUUAGUGGCGAACGGGUGAGUAAUAUAUCGGAACGUGCCUUGUAAUGGGGGGAUAACUAGUCGAAAGAUUAGCUAAUACCGCAUACGCCCUGAGGGGGGAAAGUAGGGGAUCUUCGGACCUUACGUUAUAAGAGCG